rnacentral:rRNA from 1 species
GAGUUUGAUCGUGGCUCAGAUUGAACGCUGGCGGCAGGCCUAACACAUGCAAGUCGAGCGGAUGACGGGAGCUUGCUCCUUGAUUCAGCGGCGGACGGGUGAGUAAUGCCUAGGAAUCUGCCUGGUAGUGGGGGACAACGUUUCGAAAGGAACGCUAAUACCGCAUACGUCCUACGGGAGAAAGCAGGGGACCUUCGGGCCUUGCGCUAUCAGAUGAGCCUAGGUCGGAUUAGCUAGUUGGUGGGGUAAUGGCUCACCAAGGCGACGAUCCGUAACUGGUCUGAGAGGAUGAUCAGUCACACUGGAACUGAGACACGGUCCAGACUCCUACGGGAGGCAGCAGUGGGGAAUUUUGGACAAUGGGGGCAACCCUGAUCCAGCCAUGCCGCGUGAGUGAAG